CAGUGGGUUCAAAUCCCACACGGUUACUAUUACUCCAGCCGGAAGUACUUUGGAGUAGCUCAGGAGGCAACGAAUGGGUUAAAGCAUCUGAAGAAAAAGGCUCUUUAGGAGGUCAACGACUGUGCGGGCCAUAGCGCGC
rnacentral:ncRNA from 1 species